CAGUCCAUACAAAGCAAACAAAAUCCAAAUAGGAAAGUUCCAGCAUUCUCCAGAAAUCUACACGAACUGCUGCUCCUGCUGCUUACCAGCGCUGAGCUGAUAUUCUUCCUUUCUAAAACCCCAUGUAAAUGAAAUUCUUUGAAUAUGUUCUUUUCUCAAGAAAUCAAAAAGAUCGCGAUUCUUCAAUGGAUUACCAGAUUUGAGGUUUGUUACCACUUACCUAUCAACCUUGGUAAUUAUUUCAUUUUACCUUCAAGUUCUUUAAUUUACUAACUCCUUUAACCAUCAAAUCACUGCGGUUGUUUCUGCUGUGGAGUGUAAUUUCGAUACCCAGAUGAAAUAGAAAAGUAAAGAAAUGGUAGGUGUACUUUUAUGAAAUGGGAAAGUAAACAAAUGGUACGCUGUGAGAAGCUUCAUCUCCUGUUGAUGAACAUAUUCACUGUGAGCUUAUCCAGACUUAAUGUGAGAAAUUAUUUACGGAGAUAGCUAUUAUGUUCCAAUGAGAUUUAACAUGUAUUCACUUGGCGUGUAGAUGGAGGAGUGAAGAGCUGAUUUUUCAAGACCGGGUUACUGUGAACGGGUCUGUUUGCAAGACUCCACAGACUAAAGUUGAUCCAACUAGGGAUGUAAUUUAUGUCAACGGAAAUCGUCUUCGUAAGAAACUGCCUUCGAAGGUCUAUCUUGCACUAAACAAGCCUAAAGGGUACAUAUGCUCAUCAGGGGAGAAAGAAAGAUAAAAGACAUCCUGGAGAACCAAAACCUCAGCUCUUUAUAGUCGGUAGACUUGAUGUUGCCACAACUGGAGCUUCAUCAUAUGCCCUUGGUGCUUCUUCAGUUGUGUCUAAGGGGUAGUAAAAUAUCGGAUUGGGAAUGUAGGGUAGUUUGGUGUAUUAACGUUCUCGCCAUGCACAUGAACGACUGUCAUUUUCUGAUGCUACGCAUUUUGGCUGGUGUUGGUAAAUAAUUUCAACAGAGAAUCACUUGAAGAUAAAGAAAAUUUGUGAGGCAGUAGAAGAUGGACGCCGAGGAAAGAUAACUAAGGUUUUCAGUUGAUCCUUUCACUUGUAUGAAGUCUGAGCAUUUUCGUACAUAGAUUUAGCAAAUUAGCUCAUGAAAAUAUAAUAACCUGUCUAACUCCUUCAGAUGUGAAUGAAAUGGUCUUCGCAUGCAUUCAGGACAUUUACAUGAUCACUCGACCUUGAUCAAAGUAGAUUUUGGGUGAAUUAUGACACAUUCCAUUUACUGAUUUAACCUGUUCAAAUUAGUCCAACCUGCUUAUGUGACACCCUUUACGAUUUAACUUGAGGCAGGACUUUUGAUUUGAUUUUGUAGGGGUUAGUGAGUGACUUCAAAAUUCCCAAAGGUGAGGACCCAAGUUUAGAGAAAUAUCAAUUCCAGUGGCUCUAUACAAACGGGUUACUUGGAGUCAUUUUUUCCUUUGGCCUUCUCUACACAUCAUUGAAAAGCAGAACAGCAAGGUCAUGGUGGUAUGGAACUGGGUGGUUCAUAAGCUUUGUUGCGGAUUAUGGAGUUCCUUUAAUGGUUCUUGUGUGGUCGGCACUCUCAUAUGAAGUGCCAAGCAAAGUUCCCUCUGGAGUUUCCAGAAGGCUCUUUAGUCCUCUUCCUUGGGAAUCUGCAUCUCUACAUCACUGGACUGUAAUCAAGGUGCUUUGAUUGUGAAUGGAUUGAUCGAUUAAUUUUCUGUUGGUUAUUGAAAAAUUUUGAAAUUCGUGAAAUCAGUCACUGAUGUUUAUGUCAGCAUACAAUACAUCUUGUUCGUUUGGGCCUUGCAUGAACGCAGGAUGCUUUGUGCAGCGACCUGCACUUUUGUACUGUAAAAUCUUGAAAUAAAUACAUGAUAUAUCAAUUGCAAGAUAUGGGAAAGGUUCCUCCAUA